rnacentral:lncRNA from 1 species
AUGCUGCAUUGCGGAGAAAUAGGGAACCCCCCAAAUGAGGAAAAAGUUGUGACGCAGAAAAAAAAUGAGUGCAAAAUAACUACUGCCAUGUAAUUUGAGAAAUAGAAACACAGGGCAUCCAAUGAUAUUGUUUCUAUUACAAUGGACACUGUCGAUUGCAUUUUAUCCAUCUCGAGUUCAACUGCUUUAUCAUCAAAUACAACUGAAAACUGCACCGGACUUAUUUGGAAAUGGAAGGCUGG